rnacentral:rRNA from 1 species
AUUGAACGCUGGCGGCAUGCCUUACACAUGCAAGUCGAACGGUAACGGGCCUUCGGGUGCCGACGAGUGGCGAACGGGUGAGUAAAGUAUCGGAACGUACCUUUCAGUGGGGGAUAACGUAGCGAAAGUUACGCUAAUACCGCAUAUUCUGUGAGCAGGAAAGCAGGGGAUCGCAAGACCUUGCGCUGAUUGAGCGGCCGAUAUCAGAUUAGCUAGUUGGUGAGGUAAAGGCUCACCAAGGCGACGAUCUGUAGCGGGUCUGAGAGGAUGAUCCGCCACACUGGAACUGAGACACGGUCAAGACUCCUACGGGAGGCAGCAGUGGGGAAUUUUGGACAAUGGGGGCAACCCUGAUCCAGCCAUGCCGCGUGAGUGAAGAAGGCCUUCGGGUUGUAAAGCUCUUUCGGCCGGGAAGAAAUCGUACGGGUUAAUACCCUGUGCGGAUGACGGUACCGGCAUAAGAAGCACCGGCUAACUACGUGCCAGCCGCCGCUGUAAGAC